GGGGCCGUAGCUCAGCUGGGAGAGCGUCGCGUUCGCAACGCGAAGGCCGUGGGUUCGACUCCCAUCGGCUCCACCA
rnacentral:tRNA from 1 species